GCUCGCCCUAGCCCGGGUGGCUCCAUACAGCGGGCUGCUCUGGUUCCCACCCCCCACUUCCGUCCUGGGCUGGGGGGGAGGGAGCCCGCGCCGCCCGCGCCGCCCGCAGCCUGUCCCCGGGGGCUGGUGAGAGGAAGAUUUCUAGAUCACAGCUGACCAAAGAGCCUUUGGAGAUGGCAGCAUGGCUUAAUGCAUUCAUCAGUUUCUCAUGAGGUGGUCAUCAGG